rnacentral:rRNA from 1 species
UACGUAGGGUGCAAGCGUUAAUCGGAAUUACUGGGCGUAAAGCGUGCGCAGGCGGUUUUGUAAGUCUGUCGUGAAAUCCCCCGGGCUCAACCUGGGAAUUGCGAUGGAGACUGCAAGGCUAGAAUCUGGCAGAGGGGGGUAGAAUUCCACGUGUAGCAGUGAAAUGCGUAGAGAUGUGGAGGAACACCGAUGGCGAAGGCAGCCCCCUGGGUCAAGAUUGACGCUCAUGCACGAAAGCGUGGGGAGCAAACGAGGAU